GAUGAACGCUGACAGAAUGCUUAACACAUGCAAGUCGAUGGGGAAGUGGUGCUUGCCCCAUGGCAACCAUGGCGGACGGGUGAGUAACGCGUAAGGGACUUACCUGCAGGACUGGGAUAACAGGGGGAAACUCCUGACAAGACCGGAUAAUGUCAUGGAGCUGCAUGGCUUUAUGAUGAAAGGAGACGCCUGCGGAGAGCCUUGCGUCCUGUUAGCUAGUUGGUGAGGUAAUGGCUCACCAAGGCGAAGAUAGGUAGCCGGCCUGAGAGGGUGGACGGCCACAAGGGGACUGAGAUACGGCCCUUACUCCUACGGGAGGCAGCAGUGGGGAAUAUUGGACAAUGGGGGCAACCCUGAUCCAGCAAUUCUGUGUGCACGAAGAAGGUUUUCGGAUUGUAAAGUGCUUUCAGCAGGGAAGAAGUAAGUGACGGUACCUGCAGAAGAAGCGACGGCUAAAUACGUG
rnacentral:rRNA from 1 species